rnacentral:rRNA from 1 species
AUUGAAUGCUGGCGGCAGGCCUAACACAUGCAAGUCGAGCGGAUGAAGGGAGCUUGCUCCUGGAUUCAGCGGCGGACGGGUGAGUAAUGCCUAGGAAUCUGCCUGGUAGUGGGGGAUAACGUCCGGAAACGGGCGCUAAUACCGCAUACGUCCUGAGGGAGAAAGUGGGGGAUCUUCGGACCUCACGCUAUCAGAUGAGCCUAGGUCGGAUUAGCUAGUUGGUGGGGUAAAGGCCUACCAAGGCGACGAUCCGUAACUGGUCUGAGAGGAUGAUCGGUCACACUGGAACUGAGACACGGUCCAGACUCCUACGGGAGGCAGCAGUGGGGAAUAUUGGACAAUGGGCGAAAGCCUGAUCCAGCCAUGCCGCGUGUGUGAAGAAGGUCUUCGGAUUGUAAAGCACUUUAAGUUGGGAGGAAGGGCAGUAAGUUAAUACCUUGCUGUUUUGACGUUACCAACAGAAUAAGCACCGGCUAACUUCGUG